rnacentral:lncRNA from 1 species
UUGGCCGUGGCUAAAUAUUAGCCACGGAAAAUCAAUUCCGUGGCUAAAAAUUAGUAGCCACCAGACCUACAGCCACGGCCACUCCCGUGGCUAAUUCCCGUGGCUAAAUUGAUUUAGCCACGGAUUUUACCAUUUAGCCAGUGAACUUGGCCGUGGCUGUUUCCUUGUUUUCUUGUAGUGUUCGGCCUCCGUUCGACACUGAUGGUUGCUUCUUUGACCUCCAUGUGAUCAAAUUGUUCCUAAGAAAAUUAGUUGGCCACCAUGACUUCGCCGGUCGGUAGUGUCUCCAGCCCAAUCGACAUCGGAGAAGGACGAGAGAUCCAGCCUUUUUGCCUUGCUGAUCGUGACCCCAACGUAUGGUGUCCCGGAGAGGUAACGAAGGAUCUGUUGAAGUGCCGUCCAACCUGUUUUUGAAGGUCGGGUCAUAUGUUGGGAGAUUUUAUUGACGCUAAAAGCAAUAUCGGGUCGGGUUACAGUCAAGUAUUGUAAUGACCCGACUAUUUGCCGAAAUUUGGUACUUUUGUUAUGUUUAGUUCCGGUGACUGGUCAUCCCCCGAUCCUCAUGCUUCCAUCGGUGUUGAUGUCGGUUUCAAGUUUGCUAACUCCGCUCCAUGUAGCAAAUUGGCUAAAUAUUGGUGCUGAGUUAAUAAAAGUGACCCAUCCGGAAUGUAUUCUGAGAAAAAAACGCAGUGUGCCAAAGUCUUUUAUAGCGAAAUUCUUCCUGAUUUCUGUGACAAAUCGACUAGUAAAUUAUUCGGAGGAUGAAGCCAGAAUUAUGUCAUCUACGUAUACGAGAAAAUAUGCUUUUGUAUUCCCUUGUGAAUAUGUGAACAAAGAUUGAUCGGAGACUGACUCGGAGAACCCGAAAGAGACCAAGAAAUCACGAAGCCGACGAAACCAAGCUCUCGGAGAUUGUCGUAGCCCGUAAAUUGAUUUUAAAAGCUUGCAAACCCCCUUCGGAUUGUCUGGAUCCCGAUAUCCCGGUGGCUGCUUCAUGAACACAGUUUCCUCCAAGAUCCCAUGUAAAAAGGCGUUGGAGGCGUCAAACUGUCGCAAUUCCCACCCCCAAAUCACCGCAAGUGUUAAAAUUAUUUUCACGGUGGGUGGCUUGACCACUGGGGCGAAUGUUUCAUUCACAUCAAUACCAUCGAGUUGCCUCAUCCUGUUCGCUACCAAUCGGGCUUUAAAACGCUCGACGUUGCCGGACUCAUCUAGCUUUUGCUUGAACACCCACUUGCAAGACAAGACGUUCUGCGACGUAUGUGCAUAGACUAAUUCCCAAGUAUUGUUCUGAUUAAGUGCUGAAAUUUCUUCGUCCAUUGCGAUCUUCCAUCUAGCAUCGUUGACCGUAUCAGAAAAUCUUGUAGGUACUCGUGGCGUGGCGGCAACCUGGAAUGCAUAUUUCGGAUUGUUCUUGACAAUCCCAGAUUUUGAGCGAGUGACCAUUGGACGGAACGACGGUGAUUCUUCGGCCGUUGGAACCUCAAGUGAUGGAACGGGUGGUUGAAUAACCGGAUCUGGAUGAUAUUCGAUCGGGUUAUCUGGUUGAAUAGCCAGAUCCGGACUCGAGUCUUGACCAUCUACAACAGAUAUUGAUUCUUUGAUUAUUGGACCUUGAACUUGCGAAUGUUGUGUCAAACUUGGGUUAACCUCAAUUGUGGCAAUUGGGUUAGCCUCGGUUCUUUGUUCUGGUUGAAUUGAUUUGGUUGAAUGUAAUGAUCUGUUAAUUUCAAAAUUAUCUUCAAUAAACACCACGUCAUUGGAG